rnacentral:rRNA from 1 species
AUGAGUCCACUAUACCUACCUAUAUGUGGUAUCUACCUGCCGUUCCAAGUAAAUUUGUAUGUGCCAAACUCCAAACCUUCAAAUGAAAUUCUGUUUUGUAUGCUCGAGCAGCUCAUGUUACAACUAGGGCUGCCUAUAUCUUCCAUGCUAGGUGGGUUAUUCUCAAGAGGAGUGGACUCCGCUCCUCAUUCACGAGAAAGGGCCGGUAACCGGGAUGCCCUGUCCCAUGAUCCAAAACGAUCAAAGCAAAUCAAAAUAAUUAAACAAAACUCCCCCAGGGUUGUUGUAUGUUGGAGGCACUCGUUGUUUUGA